CGCAUCCAGCCAAGGGCGGGGCGUAUCCCUCUUCUCCCAUAUGGUCAGCACCCACUUAUCAAAUUAAGUGGGGAGGGUUGGGUUCAAAGGAUGGGUCCAAUCCUAUUCAAAAUAGGAUUAUGUGCACCCAAUUUAAUUUCCUCCAAAACCUAAUCCAAUUAGGAUUUAAUUAAACCAUGACUCAAUUGAACUCUUCAAUCCUAAUCUAAUUAGGAGUCAUUAGAUUAAUUAGAUUAAAAUUAAUUAGGACUUCAGAACUCCUAAUCUAAUUAGGACCACUGAAAUUUCAGUCCUAAUCCAAUUAGGACUUUAGAAAUCCUACUCCAAGUAGGACUCUAAUUUAAUCUGAAAUCCUAAUUCAAUUAGGAUUCCAAGAAUCUUACUCCAAGUAGGACUCAUGAUCAAGUCCAAUUAAUUAAAUUAAAUUGCAAUCCGAUUGCAAUUAUUCCUUCUUCAACUCACUAACUCUUAGCGGGUUAAUCAAUUAUCAAUCAAAUUGAUUAUUUGUGAUUCCUAAUCAUAAUUCAACCGUCGGAUCGGUCAAUACCUCUAAUAUGUGUGACCCCAUAGGUUCUAUUCUGUCUAGUAGUGAGAUAUAUUGCGAUCUCUAUCACAAUAUCAUUGAAAAUUUCUUUCAAUGGGUUGGAAUAAUUCCAACUCAACUCACCAAGAAUCAUCAACCAUCAAGAUGGUACCUGUGAGUCUCACCAUCCACCAGUGACACCUAGCAGCAUGUAGUGGCUAUCCAGCAGAAUGAAAUGAUGAACCUCUAGGUGCAGUUAUUGUAUGAUACGGUCCUUCUAUCGUGGAUCCCUACAGAUCGGAGGUCAUGGAUAACUCGUCAAACUCCGUCGUCUGUCAUAUGUCUAGAUUUAUUCGACUUAAGUUCGAGAGUGGAAAACUCUUUCUCCACUGUACGUACUACCCUGGCCAAGAUCUUACGAACUCAGUCUCAUAAAUCACAUAGGAUCACUUCUCAUCUAUCAAGGUCGAUAGAUUUCUCGUAAGUGCAUACCCUACUCCUACAGUGAACCUACUGUAGCCAAUCUAAACUACAAGGACCCAUAUAACUAGAGACCAGGUAUAUGUGCAGUUAAACUACAAUAACCUCACUGUAAGUAGCCGAAGCACCGCAGGUCAAAGGACUAGUUAUACUACUGCAACAUCAAGCAAGUCACUGACGAGUGGAUAGACAUCCAAGUGACUUCUCGUAUUGGUUACGCUCAGUACUCUUGUUCUCUAACAAGCACCUGCACUAUCACCUCAGUGUCCCUACACUGUGGACUCGAGUCUCGUCCAUCCAUAAGAAAAGCGAUCUGUGCACUGAUCUCAUCGGAUCGAUCACCGUCCUCGUGAUGAUCUAUUGAUCAGGAGCAUUUAGAAAUUAAUCACUAAUGAUACAUGGCUCAAAUUUUCAACUCUUGAGAAUAUGUAUUAUCAUCUUAUUAAUUCCUUAGACGAUUCAUAGACACAUAAACAAUAUGAAUGAAAAAGAUGCCCAUUUAUUAUUCAAUAAUAAUAAAGUCAAGUACAAAACUAUGUCUCAGAAUUUAUAAUGUGUCAGCCAGAUUGGCUUCUAGGGCAUAUAUCUAACAAGAUGACCAGCGAGCAACCAUGAAUCUUGCACAUGGAUGAGUUGUUUGGACUGUGGGGCAGUGGGGCCAGUCCCAUACUCACCAGCUCUGACGGAGUAAUCACGGAGUAUGCUCUUCGGUUUGAAUUCUCCACCUUGAACAAUCAAACUAUGUACAAGGUGGUCAUCACCGGAUUGAAGCCUUUAAAGGAGCUUAGGAUCCAGCAACUAAAGGUCUUCAGCAUGUAGGUUGAAGAACCUCAACGGCGCCCCGAUCCCACAAGCUUGGAACUCCAACAAUCCUUGUGCUGAUUAUUAGUGAGGUCCAUUAUAGCCCAAACUUAUCUCUAAUAAAAAAUCUUUGUACCAUUUUUCUGUCUCUUAGAUUGGAUGAUUGCAACAAACAUAUUCGACUUGGGUCACCUCGGAGAUGCUUGGGCCCCAACAAAGGUGACACCCUAGGGACGUUUAGGUCCUCCUCAAGAUCGAGCCCACUUGAAAUUCCUCUGGAACUGCAAUCUAGAGACAAGGAGACCAGCCCCCACGCCGAAGGUUUAGCAUGCCACUAGACCUCUUUAAGUCGUACAUGACCCAAACAGAAGACUGCCCCCCAUGCUAAAGGCUUGGCAUGCUACUCAACUACUUCAGAUUGUAAAUGGCCUAAGUUGGAGACCAGCCCCUAUGCCGAAGGCUUGGCAUGCCACCUGACUUCUUUAAGUCGUAAAUGGCCCAAGCAGAAGACCAUCCCUCACGAUGAAGGCUUAGCGCGCCACUUGACCUCUUUC
rnacentral:lncRNA from 1 species